rnacentral:tRNA from 1 species
GAAAGUUAGGAUAGACCCAAACCAAAG